rnacentral:ncRNA from 1 species
GAGGGACUUGGAUUCUCUUAGCAUUUGCAUCAUUUUCAGCAAGACUUCGCCCGGAUGGCGAAGUCAGGGAGCAUACGCCAGGGAUGGCGUAUUGCGACCGUUUGCGUACGGUUGUCAUACAUUGUCGCAAAUGCUUAGAGAAGCCAUGUCCCG